GUAGCGGAUCGGCAAGUCCCUUGUGAAAUCGGACGACUUAAUCGUUCGGCUUGCAUGGGAAACUGCGGAUCUUGGGGUCGGCAGGCGUCGAGGGUACUCCGGGGGUAGCGGUGAAAUGCUAUAAUCCCUGGGGGACCGCCAGUGGCGAAAGCGCUCGGCGGGGCCGAACCCGACGGUGAGGGACGAAGGCCAGGGGAGCGAACCGGAUUAGAUACCCGGGUAGUCCUGGCUGUAAAGUAUGUGGGCUAGGUGCUGGGCUUUCCUCGAGAGUGCUCGGUGCCGAAGGGAAGCCGUUAAGCCCACCGCCUGGGAAGUACGGCCGCAAGGUUGAAACUUAAAGAAAUUGGCGGGGGAGCACCACAAGGGGUGGAGCCUGCGGUUUAAUUGGAUUCAACGCCGGACAACUCACCGGGGGCGACGGCAGAUUGAAGGCCAAGUUGACGACUUUGCCGGACUCGCCGAGAGGUGGUGCAUGGCCGCCGUCAGCUCGUAUCGUGAGACGUCCUGUCAAGUCAGGUAACGAGCGAGACCUUCGCCUUUAGUUGCCAGCAGGUCCUUCGGGAUGCUGGGCACUCUAAAGGGACCGCUGUCGAUAAGGCAGAGGAAGGAGAGGGCGACGGUAGGUCCGUAUGCCCCGAAUCCCCCGGGCAACACGCGGGCUACAAUGCGCAGGACAGAGGGCUGCGACCCCGAAAGGGGGAGCCGAUCCCUAAACCUGCGCCUAGUUCGGAUCGAGGGCUGCAACUCGCCCUCGUGAAGCUGGAAUCCCUAGUAACCGUGUGUCNUUAUCGCACGGUG
rnacentral:rRNA from 1 species